rnacentral:ncRNA from 1 species
AAGAUCUCGGGGGCGGGCGUGGCUGAGAUUAUACGGCCCUCAACUUGAUCUGGAUAAUACCAGCGAAAGGAUCAUGCCUCCCCCCCCC